rnacentral:rRNA from 1 species
GAUGAACGCUGGCGGCGUGCCUAAUACAUGCAAGUCGAACGCUGAAGCUUGGUGCUUGCACCGAGCGGAUGAGUUGCGAACGGGUGAGUAACGCGUAGGUAACCUGCCUCUUAGCGGGGGAUAACUAUUGGAAACGAUAGCUAAUACCGCAUAAAAGUCGAUAUCGCAUGAUAUUGAUUUGAAAGGUGCAAUUGCAUCACUAAGAGAUGGACCUGCGUUGUAUUAGCUAGUUGGUGAGGUAACGGCUCACCAAGGCAACGAUACAUAGCCGACCUGAGAGGGUGAUCGGCCACACUGGGACUGAGACACGGCCCAGACUCCUACGGGAGGCAGCAGUAGGGAAUCUUCGGCAAUGGGGGCAACCCUGACCGAGCAACGCCGCGUGAGUGAAGAAGGUUUUCGGAUCGUAAAGCUCUGUUGUAAGAGAAGAACGAGUGUGAGAGUGGAAAGUUCACACUGUGACGGUAACUUACCAGAAAGGGACGGCUAACUACGUG